CCUACGGGAGGCAGCAGUGAGGAAUGUUGGUCAAUGGACGAGAGUCUGAACCAGCCAAGUAGCGUGAAGGAUGACUGCCCUAUGGGUUGUAAACUUCUUUUAUAUGGGAAUAAAAUGUUCCACGUGUGGGAUUUUGUCUGUACCAUCUGAAUAAGGAUCGGCUAACUCCGUGCCAGCAGCCGCGGUAAUACGGAGGAUCCGAGCGUUAUCCGGAUUUAUUGGGUUUAAAGGGAGCGUAGGUGGAUUGUUAAGUCAGUUGUGAAAGUUUGCGGCUCAACCGGAAAAUUGCAGUUGAAACUGGCAGACUUGAGUACAGUAGAGGUAGGCGGAAUUCGUGGUGUAGCGGUGAAAUGCUUAGAUAUCACGAAGAACUCCGAUUGCGAAGGCAGCUCACUGGACUGCAACUGACACUGAGGCUCGAAAGUGUGGGUAUCAAACAGGAUUAGAUACCCGGGUAGUC
rnacentral:rRNA from 1 species